rnacentral:rRNA from 1 species
CGGGGUGAGUAAUGUCUGGGAAACUGCCUGAUGGAGGGGGAUAACUGCUGGAAACGGUAGCUAAUACCGCACAACGUCGCAAGACCAAAGAGGGGGACCUUCGGGCCUCUUGCCAUCGGAUGUGCCCAGAUGGGAUUAGCUAGUAGGUGGGGUAACGGCUCACCUAGGCGACGAUCCCUAGCUGGUCUGAGAGGAUGACCAGCCACACUGGAACUGAGACACGGUCCAG